rnacentral:rRNA from 1 species
GUGGGGAAUAUUGCACAAUGGGGGAAACCCUGAUGCAGCGACGCCGCGUGAGUGAAGAAGUAUUUCGGUAUGUAAAGCUCUAUCAGCAGGGAAGAAAAUGACGGUACCUGACUAAGAAGCCCCGGCUAACUACGUGCCAGCAGCCGCGGUAAUACGUAGGGGGCAAGCGUUAUCCGGAUUUACUGGGUGUAAAGGGAGCGUAGACGGCAUGGCAAGCCAGAUGUGAAAACCCAGGGCUCAACCUUGGGAUUGCAUUUGGAACUGCCAGGCUGGAGUGCAGGAGAGGUAAGCGGAAUUCCUAGUGUAGCGGUGAAAUGCGUAGAUAUUAGGAGGAACACCAGUGGCGAAGGCGGCUUGCUGGACUGUAACUGACGUUGAGGCUCGAAAGCGUGGGGAGCAAACAGGAUUAGAUACCCCUGUAGUCC